rnacentral:rRNA from 1 species
UACGUAGGUGGCAAGCGAUACUCGGAAUCACUAGGCGUAAAGCGCAGGUAGGCGGUUUGGUAAGUCUUUUGUGAAAGCUCCCGGCUUAACUGGGAGAGGUCAAGGGAAACUACCGGACUAGAGUGUGGUAGGGGAUACUGGAAUUCCUGGUGUAGCGGUGAAAUGCGUAGAUAUCAGGAGGAACACCGGUGGUGUAGACGGCUCACUGGACCAUAACUGACGCUGGAGACACGGAAAGCGUGGGUAGCAAACAGG